rnacentral:rRNA from 1 species
ACGGGAGGCAGCAGUGGGGAAUGUUGGGCAAUGGGGGAAACCCUGACCCAGCAACGCCGCGUGAAGGAAGAAGGCCUUCGGGUUGUAAACUUCUCUUACCAGGGACGAACAAAUGACGGUACCUGGAGAAAAAGCAACGGCUAACUACGUGCCAGCAGCCGCGGUAAUACGUAGGUUGCAAGCGUUGUCCGGAUUUACUGGGUGUAAAGGGCGUGUAGGCGGAGCUGCAAGUCAGAUGUGAAAUCCCGGGGCUCAACCCCGGAACUGCAUUUGAAACUGUAGCCCUUGAGUAUCGGAGAGGCAAGCGGAAUUCCUAGUGUAGCGGUGAAAUGCGUAGAUAUUAGGAGGAACACCGGUGGCGAAGGCGGGUUACUGGACGAUUACUGACGCUGAGACACGAAAGCGUGGGGAGCAAACAGGAUUAGAUACCCUGGUA